rnacentral:rRNA from 1 species
GAUGAACGCUGGCGGCGUGCCUAAUACAUGCAAGUCGAGCGAAUGGAUUAAGAGCUUGCUCUUAUGAAGUUAGCGGCGGACGGGUGAGUAACACGUGGGUAACCUGCCCAUAAGACUGGGAUAACUCCGGGAAACCGGGGCUAAUACCGGAUAACAUUUUGAACCGCAUGGUUCGAAAUUGAAAGGCGGCUUCGGCUGUCACUUAUGGAUGGACCCGCGUCGCAUUAGCUAGUUGGUGAGGUAACGGCUCACCAAGGCAACGAUGCGUAGCCGAGCUGAGAGGGUGAUAGGCCACACUGGGACUGAGACACGGCCCAGACUCCUACGGGAGGCAGCAGUAGGGAAUCUUCCGCAAUGGACGAAAGUCUGACGGAGCAACGCCGCGUGAGUGAUGAAGGCUUUCGGGUCGUAAAACUCUGUUGUUAGGGAAGAACAAGUGCUAGUUGAAUGAGCUGGCACCUUGACGGUACCUAACCAGAAAGCCACGGCUAACUACGUGCCAGCCGCCGCGGUAA